rnacentral:rRNA from 1 species
UAACAAGGAUUCCCCUAGUAACGGCGAGUGAAGCGGGAAGAGCUCAAAUUUGAAAUCUGGUAGCCUUCGGUUGCCCGAGUUGUAAUCUAGAGAAGUGUUUUCCGUGCCGGCCCAUGUACAAGUCCCUUGGAACAGGGCGUCAUAGAGGGUGAGAAUCCCGUCCUUGACAUGGACCCCCGGUGCUUUGUGAUACACUUUCAACGAGUCGAGUUGUUUGGGAAUGCAGCUCAAAAUGGGUGGUGAAUUCCAUCUAAAGCUAAAUAUUGGCGAGAGACCGAUAGCGAACAAGUACCGUGAGGGAAAGAUGAAAAGCACUUUGGAAAGAGAGUUAAACAGUACGUGAAAUUGUUGAAAGGGAAACGAUUGAAGUCAGUCAUGCUCUUAGGAUUCAGCCGUUCUGCGGUGUAUUUCCUUUGAGUGGGGUCAACAUCAGUUUUGAUCGAUGGAUAAAGGCACGAGGAAGGUAGCACUCUCGGGUGAACUUAUAGCCUCGCGUCAUAUACAUUGAUUGGGACUGAGGAACGCAGCAUGCCUUUAUGGCCGGGAUUCGUCCACGUACAUGCUUAGGAUGUUGACAUAAUGGCUUUAAA